rnacentral:rRNA from 1 species
AGUGAACGCUGGCGGUAUGCCUAACACAUGCAAGUCGAACGACAACACAGUGAGAUCGCGCCCCUACGGGUAGCGGCGGACGGACGGGUGACACAUACAUCGCAAUCUAAUUUUUCGUGGAUGAUAACGUAAGACCACUUACGCUAAUACCGCAUACAACCUACGGCUGAAAUCAAUGGAUCUUCACACCUUUCGCGUUUCAAUUAGCCGAUGUCGCAUUAGCUAGUUGGCGGGGUAAAGGCCCACCAAGGCGACGAUGCGUAGCUGGUCUGAGAGGAUGAUCAGCCACACUGGAACUGAGACACGGUCCAGACUCCUACGGGAGGCAGCAGUGGGGAAUCUUGGACAAUGGGCGAAAGCCUGAUGCAGCCAUGCCGCGUGAGUGAUGAAGGUCUUCGGGUUGUAAAGCUCUUUUGUUGGGGAAGAAAAAAAGUGGGUGUAUAUAUGGCUGUCUUGACGGUACCUAAAGAAUAAGCAACGGCUAACUUCGUG